rnacentral:lncRNA from 1 species
UGAAAAUUUAGCCAAUGAAAUCCAGCAACAAAAAUGUCACUAAUAGGUAGGUUAGUUAAAGGAUUCUCCCUCCCCCUCACUUAUCUUAGUUGAUGGCACCCCACACAAGUUAAAUAUCAAGACCAACAAAGGAAACCAUCUGACAGAUGAACAAAGAAGUCACUAAGCAGCUUUGGUCCUGGUAUGCCAAACUUACCCAGCAAUGACGGGAGAGUGCCUUUUUCUGCUCUGAUGUACUAAAUUGAAGCUUGAAAGAGACAUCAAUUAAGGAAAGUUUUGCGUGUAUUUAUUGAUGCCCCUACAAGAACGGAAUAAUAAACUGGAGGAAUUCCAUGGGGACUGGAACAACCUCCAGGAAGUGAUGCAGAGCGAGAGGAGCAGAACCAGGAGAAUAUUGUACACAGAGACUGAUACACUGUGGCACAAUCGAUUGCAAUGGACUUCUCUACUAGCAGUAAUGCAAUGACCCAGGAGAACACUAUCCACAUCCAAAGAAAGAACUGUGGGAGCAGAAACACAGAAGAAAAACAACUGUUUGAUCACAUGGUUCAAUGGGGAUAUGAAUGAGGAUGUAGACUCUAAAUUGAUCACUCUAUUGCAAAUAUUAAUAAAAUAGAAAUAGGUUCUGAACA